rnacentral:rRNA from 1 species
UACGGAGGGGACUAGCGUUGUUCGGAAUCACUGGGCGUAAAGCGCGUGUAGGCGGCCCACUAAGUCUGAUGUGAAAGCCCGGGGCUCACCCCCGGAAGUGCAUUGGAAACUGGUGGACUCGAGUCCCGGAGAGGAGAGUGGAAUUCCUGGUGUAGCGGUGAAAUGCGUAGAUAUCAGGAGGAACACCGGUGGCGAAGGCGGCUCUCUGGACGGUGACUGACGCUGAGACGCGAAAGCGUGGGGAGCAAACAGG